UACGGGGGGGGCAAGCGUUGUUCGGAAUUACUGGGCGUAAAGGGCUCGUAGGUGGCCAACUAAGUCAGACGUGAAAUCCCUCGGCUUAACCGGGGAACUGCGUCUGAUACUGGAUGGCUUGAGUUUGGGAGAGGGACGCGGAAUUCCAGGUGGUAGCGGUGAAAUGCGUAGAUAUCUGGAGGAACACCGGUGGCGAAGGCGGCGUCCUGGACCAAUACUGACACUGAGUGAGCGAAAGCCAGGGGAGCAAACGGG
rnacentral:rRNA from 1 species